rnacentral:rRNA from 1 species
AUUGAACGCUGGCAGCAGGCCUAACACAUGCAAGUCGAGCGGAUGAGGGAAGCUUGCUUCCCGAUUUAGCGGCGGACGGGUGAGUAAUGCCUAGGAAUCUGCCUAUUAGUGGGGGAUAACGUUCCGAAAGGAACGCUAAUACCGCAUACGUCCUACGGGAGAAAGUGGGGGAUCUUCGGACCUCACGCUAAUAGAUGAGCCUAGGUCGGAUUAGCUAGUUGGUGGGGUAACGGCUCACCAAGGCGCCGAUCCGUAGCUGGUCUGAGAGGAUGAUCAGCCACACUGGAACUGAGACACGGUCCAGGCUCCUACGGGAGGCAGCAGUGGGGAAUAUUGGACAAUGGGCGAAAGCCUGAUCCAGCCAUGCCGCGUGUGUGAAGAAGGUCUUCGGAUUGUAAAGCACUUUAAGUUGGGAGGAAGGGUUGUAAGCUAAUAUCUUGCAGCUUUGACGUUACCAACAGAAUAAGCACCGGCUAACUCUGUGCCAGCAGCCGCCGUAAGAC